GUCUUCGAGUCUUCUGCGUGCUCGCCCAAUACAAUUAUUGUACUUCGGUGUAAAUUCACUUGUGUUAGGUACAGUCUGAGUGUUUAAGUCGAAAUAAUGCCGUGUCAUGUAUAUCAAUUUUAAAAUUUAAAAAAUUUAAAACGUGUUUAUAAACACACCUACCGUAAUCCAGUUCGCGCGCGAUGAUGAAUAUCGAGGAAAUGUGUGUUCAAUAUUUGAGUACCUACAACAUUUCUGGGAAAGAAAGGAGCGGUAAAAACGGAACUAACAGAAACGACGAGAAAAGGAAAUAUAAAGGACGUUUUGGUCAGCAAAAAAAUAUUGCCGAAACAGCACCAGAACAUGAACAUGAACAAUCUACAUCUAAAAUAUUUAAGUAAACUUAAAAAAACGUUGGAAGUUAUACGUCCCAAAUCUCGCGGAAUCAAACGCCGCUGGUACGUCAUUUUAGCCGGUAAUGUACCUGAACAGGAAGUCAUUUCUUGUUCGCGACGUGGCCAAUAUCUUCUAUCCGGUUAGUGUAUUAUUAUUUAUGUCACGUCUGUAAUAUUUUUUCAGGGUGUUUUAUUAUUUAUACAUCUUUAAUAUUUUAGUCGAUCUUACACAAAUAUUUAACACACAUUUUCUCAAUAUUAAUCAUCGCGCGCGAAUUAUAUUACGGUCUAUACAGCUUAUAAGCAGUUGGGUUGAGUUAUUUUUUAAAAGAUUUGACCUAAUCAGCAGGGAAUCCCGAAUUAUAUGUAUAAUUAUAAGUACCUAUAUAUUUAUUAUAAUAAGCUAAUUGAAGUUUGAAAAAAAAUGCGUAAAGUGGACGAUUUAAAUCAUAAUGUUCUUGUUGAAAUAACACCAAUUUUAUUUUACAUAUUUUUUUUUACGUUUUUUGCAUGUUUAGAAUUCGACAGGUUUAGAGUUUUGUUUUAAGUUAAUAUUUUCAAUCUGUCAGUAUUAUUACGUUAAAAUACAUUUUGGAAUAAAAAGUAUUUUCGAAUCAUAAGUGUAUAAGUAGACUUUAUCUACGAUCUGCAGUCUAUACAGAUAGGUAAUACCGAUCGAUAAAAUAUUAAAAUUGCGAUUAUAUUAUUAUAUUGCCAAGACUUCCGAGAUAUUACAUAAUAUUAUAAGAUUAUGGUCAAUGUGUAUUGUACUCAUAGCACACGGACAUUAAUAUAAUUAUAUCUUAUCGAAUAAUAUUAUUUCUUAGUUCAUAGGUAGGUUAGGUAACCUAUAGCACGACAAAAUUAAUCUAUUUUGUGUAGGCAUUCAUUUCUCAAUUUAAAGGAGGAUUUAUUUCUCGUCAUUUGUUGUAUUAAGUAUAUAUUAGGUAUAUCCAAUUAAUAUUUUUAGUAUAACCCCUAAACAUAACGAGGUUGGCUUCAGUGCUCAAAUUUGGAGGGGGGUUGCGCAGGGGGGCGGAACUCCCCUACUAAUUUUUUUUGCGUACCCCUACUACCUAUUUUUUUUACUUGGCCGGAGGGACGGUACAAAGUAAUGUGGAAGUAAUUUUUAUUAAAAUGUGAAUUUCAAUGUAUGUCAAUUAUGUAACGAAUUUUACUAUUUCAUACCUAUCAAAAUUAUUUUUGACUUUAGUUUAGUAAUUAAUUAUAAUAUGACCCUGCGUUGUUCCUAUAUAGGCAGUAGUUUACAGAUCAUGGUAUAUAAUAGUAUAUAAGUAUACAAGUAUAUAAUAUUAUCUAAGGCACGGGCAUACUGGUGUAGUGGUGUGUGAA